CCUACGGGAGGCAGCAGUAAGGAAUAUUGGACAAUGCUCGCAAGAGUGAUCCAGCCAUGCCGCGUGCAGGAAGAAUGCCCUAUGGGUAGUAAACUGCUUUUGAACUAGAGAAAACCCCAGUACGUGUACUGGGCUGAUAGUAUAGUUAGAAUAAGCAUCGGCUAACUUCGUGCCAGCAGCCGCGGUAAGACGAAGGAUGCAAGCGUUAUCCGGAUUCAUUGGGUUUAAAGGGAGCGUAGGUGGACUGAUAAGUCAGUGGUGAAAUCUCCGAGCUUAACUCGGAAAUUGCCAUUGAUACUGUUGGUCUUGAGUACAGUUGCUGUGGGCGGAAUAUGACAUGUAGUGGUGAAAUACAUAGAGAUGUCAUAGAACACCGAUUGCGAAGGCAGCUCACAAAGCUGUAACUGACACUGAGGCUCGAAAGUGCGGGGAUCAAACAGGAUUAGAUACCCUGGUAGUCCGCACCGUAAACGAUGAUUACUCGCUGCUAGGGGGCAACCUUUAGUGGCUUAGCGAAAGCGAUAAGAAUCCCACCUGGGGAGUACGCCGGCAACGGUGAAACUUAAAGGAAUUGACGGCGNGAGAGNGCGAGGACGACACGAGGGAGGAGG
rnacentral:rRNA from 1 species